UCCCGUGGGAAGCCAUGCUGUGAUCUGGAGCAGCCAGCUGGCCAGCGUGGGCUUGAGUCAGUCUGACUAAGUGGGGGUGACAGCCGGUGUGCCCUUUAUGUUUUUUCCAGGGCCUUGCAUGCCGGGGAAGGAGCCCAGGGUCCUAAACUGACCCCACUUCCCAUUUGGUUUGCCCUCCAAACUCACCUGCUCCAGGCUUGACUUCAGCCAAGUCGUGGGAGAAUUAUCAUAGUUGCUUUUAAUUCUUUUUUACCAUACCUGCCUUUCUGUCACUGAAAGGGCUGUGAAAAGUUGCAACAUUUGAAGCAUAGAGAGAGGUAUUGGGGUUGAGGCAAAUACUUUGCACUCUGAGCCAAAAAAUCCAU
rnacentral:lncRNA from 1 species